CCACAACCCCGAGAUACGUCAUCCAGGGGCGGGGUCAGGACUCCAGGGGAGAGGGAAGUUGGCGGUCAUGGCUGCCCAGCGGCGCCGCAGAGCCAGAAAGAGGCCGCUGAGGUCACUGCGCGGAUGGUGGAGAGAGUGUCGACACCUCAAGGGAGCCUUGUGGCCGGGAAGAGAGAAGGCCCCGGACGGAGGGCAAGCGAGAGGAGCCCGAGUGGGGCGGGGGGGCCGGCCUAGGCGGACUGCCCACCGCCCGACCUGCCCCGCGUGGGAGGGGCCCGGCGCUCCACCUCGGGAGCAGGCUGCUCUUCCCUUUCCCAGGAAGCCGCUCCUUGCCGCGCCCCUGCCUGGCGAUGGGAGACAGCUCAGCAGAAGGCCCUCCAAGAAGAGAAGUGAGCAGGGCCCUGGGGCGCGGGUCUGGCCUCAGCCUCUCUCAGAAUUUCUAGGAGCCAUUCUGGAGCCAUCAGUGAGCAGAGACACAAAUUAUCCGGGGACACCCAGGCCCCCCCAGUCGAGGCAUCUGGCAAGGCUCAGAGUGCUCUUUGAGCUUCUGUACCCACCGGGACCAUCUCCCAGUCCUUGAGCACAGGGGUUAAAAUGGCCCAUUUAGAGACCACGUGCCUCCUGACGGAAGAACACCACACGUGAGAAUCACCCACACACAACUCCGGGUCUACAGCAGAUAUGUGGCUGGGGGCGAAAUGUGAGACGGCUAGGCUGCUUCAGACAGGAGAAGCGACCUGAGGAGAGAGAGACUCAAGAGGCGCAUCAACCAGUCAGGACACGCGGACCUGAGACAUUUUCCUAGACCAUCCAGGGAACGAGAACCCUGACUGGGCACUAGGAUGCCGAUGGCCUCCUUGUUGCAUUCUAGGAAACCAUCUCCUAGAAAUACAAACUGAAAUAUGAGGUGAUACCCAGGCUUCACUCGGAACGAACAACCAGUUCCCAGGGCCCAAGGGCUCUGCAUCCUGGCCACUAACUGGAGUUACCUGCUGCUCAUCCCCGUGGCCAGUGGCCUCCUGGUCUUCCCUGGCAAGGCCCCAGCUUUCCACUCUCCUACCUCCUGAAGCCUCUGCUAUUCCCAGGCCAGAACCCACCAAGAUCUCUUCCACAUCGGAUCCUACUUGGCCUCAGCCUCUCAGAUGGGGUCAAGUUCUGCCCACAGUGCCUCUUGACCUUGUGGCCUACAGUUCCUCAGACCAAUGCACCAGAGUGGCACAGCUCCCCCUUCCCCUGGUGGGUGCCAAAGGUAACGCUCGCUGCCCUUUGUAAAGCGCCUACUAAGUUCUGGCGCUGUGUUGGGCGCUCUCCAUCUGACACCCUGUCUCAUCUGCACAAACCCCCUAUUUCAGCUAAGGAGUACAGAUGAAACAAGGGCCUAGGGCCACAGAGGGGGCUCGAGCAGCAGCCCAGCUCUGCGGGGACACGGCCACAGGGGGGUCUGAGUGGCCCCCACCUGGCCUCAGACUCAGUCUCCUGCAGCACUUGACUCCCAGAUGCCCAGCUGUCCCCCCAAGCCCUUCGCUUCUGGCCCCUCGUAUCAAAUUCUGCCCUCCUAAAUAGCUGUGGUGUAUUUUUCUGGUUGAGUUGGAUUGAGUCAGGGAGGGCUUUGCAGGGUGGGCCAUACGGGGGUCUUCAGAAGGACCUGCAGGAGAUCUCAGGGCACUGGGGAGAGGGGUGGGCUGGAGGCUGGAGGUGGGAGGUCCAUGCCUCAUGGGUGGGAGGGCAGGCGAGGUUAGGACGGAUGAGCCUCAACUGGCUGGCCCAAGACGGGGGAGUUGUGGUGCCAGGGCUGUUCCCAUCGCCCACCAGUCCACGGAGCCCACUCCCUGCUGAGGGUGAGCAUGUGACUGAGGCCCAGCCAACCAGAGUGCUGCUGGCAGCCACACAGGGCCCAGCGAGUGGGCACUCGGAGCACAGGACACAGGUUGGCGAGGGCCAAGGAGAUGCCUGUCCACGGUGCGCAGGACCGCGUGGCCGAGCCCAGGGGAAGCGGGGUCGCGAGGCCUGGCCCCUGGUGGGGGAGCGCCUGGGCCGUUCCCUCUCCCCUCCUGGGCCGCGGUCCUGCUUCCGGCCUGGCGUCCCGGGUGGGCUCCUCCUGCAGGGAGGCAGUGGGGCUUGGCUUUCCACCUGCUGUGAUUUGCGUCCUGACUCGUGCUGUUCUUCCUCUUCGAGCCUGUCUCCCCUUCCACGGAUCAGGGGGAGAGAGCAGGCUGGGGGGCGCCCCUAGCUGAGGAUGCUCCUCCGCCUUCCCCAGACCCUCCGUCGGCUCCACAGAUCUGACUUCGUGCGCCAGUCCCCGCUGUCCUUCCCCAGGAGGGGACAUUCUGGCCACCCCCCUCCUGCAGACCAGCAGACCGAGACCCCCUUCGUGAGGGCCAGGGGCGCCCCCGGGCAGGUGGCCGUCGCCUCUGACCCGGCCGGGGCGGCCCCGGCUCGGAGCGUUUCCUGCCGGCCCGCCCCAGCCCAGCCCCGCAGGAAGUGGCCGCCUCCUGAACAAAGGGACCGGCGGACAAUGGCCAUUGAAUUGGGCCGGGGCGCUCGCGAACGGACAGGCCGCCAGCUGCCCGCGCUGAUAAGACCCUGCUCCGCGGCACCCGGCGCGGGGGCGGACGCCCGCUCCGGCCUGGCACGGCCCUGUCGCGGCCAC